rfam:Nippostrongylus brasiliensis genome assembly, scaffold: NBR_scaffold0000187
GUCUCAGUAGCAUAGUGGUUAGUGCACAGCUCUGGAUAGGUUGAGACACAGGUUCGAAUCCCGCCAGAGAUA